rnacentral:rRNA from 1 species
AACCGAGUCUUAAUUGGGCGUUAAGUUGCAGGGUAUAGACCCGAAACCCGGUGAUCUAGCCAUGGGCAGGUUGAAGGUUGGGUAACACUAACUGGAGGACCGAACCGACUAAUGUUGAAAAAUUAGCGGAUGACCUGUGGCUGGGGGUGAAAGGCCAAUCAAACCGGGAGAUAGCUGGUUCUCCCCGAAAGCUAUUUAGGUAGCGCCUCGUGAAUUCAUCUCCGGGGGUAGAGCACUGUUUCGGCUAGGGGGCCAUCCCGGCUUACCAACCCGAUGCAAACUGCGAAUACCGGAGAAUGUUAUCACGGGAGACACACGGCGGGUGCUAACGUCCGUCGUGAAGAGGGAAACAACCCAGACCGCCAGCUAAGGUCCCAAAGUCAUGGUUAAGUGGGAAACGAUGUGGGAAGGCCCAGACAGCCAGGAUGUUGGCUUAGAAGCAGCCAUCAUUUAAAGAAAGCGUAAUAGCUCACUGGUCGAGUCGGCCUGCGCGGAAGAUGUAACGGGGCUAAACCAUGCACCGAAGCUGCGGCAGCGAACGUAUCACCCAAGACAACUUUACGGAGUUGACGAUUGACGGAGCGAAGCGACGUCAAAGCGUUCAUUAAAGUCGAGUUGGCUUAGGGAUACGUUCGUUGGGUAGGGGAGCGUUCUGUAAGCCUGUGAAGGUGUGUCGUGAGGCAUGCUGGAGGUAUCAGAAGUGCGAAUGCUGACAUAAGUAACGAUAAAGCGGGUGAAAAGCCCGCUCGCCGGAAGACCAAGGGUUCCUGUCCAACGUUAAUCGGGGCAGGGUGAGUCGACCCCUAAGGCGAGGCCGAAAGGCGUAGUCGAUGGGAAACGGGUUAAUAUUCCCGUACUUGGUGUUACUGCGAAGGGGGGACGGAGAAGGCUA